UGCAAAAGCUGUGGGCACUGAAAGUUUUGCUCCACCGGCCGCGCAGCACCCACUUGGGGUCGGGCUUUGGGACUUGGGGGAGUCAGGAGCAGGCGGGGGCUGGGGAGAGGACGAGGCCCUGGGGAGGGGCUGGAAAAGGCUUUUCACAGCGACUGGCACUUGAUAUUUGCAAGUCUUGUGGAUGUCACUCACCGGAAACCAGACCCUGCGGUGCGAAGACUCAGGUGGCAAAGGCAAAAGCUGGACUGCAUUGUGUGGCCCCAGGGAGCUGCAGACAGAGGAACUGAGUCCUGGCCACUGUGCCUGCUGUCUCUUACAAGUUUAGAGAUGCUGGCAUUGCAUCAAAAUCGGACAACACUCCCUUCCCUCCCUUCCCAGGUACGCCAUUCCCAACCUUUUCCACCAACAGGUCCUUAUUCUCAGAAGCCAAAAAUAAUUUAUUGGUUUCCACCGUUCUCCUUGGCUGAAUCUUCAAGUACACCAACUCCCCCCUCUUCUGGACAGACUCUCCAUAAUUCAGCGAGCAUCUAAUCAGCACCUUGCUUCUCUUCCAUUCUUCCUUUCUCCAGAGUCAUGAUUCUUCCUUCUCAAGUCAAAGAGGAAUUACAAGCAAAUAGACACUAUCCUUGAAUGCAGUUUGGGUUACACAGAAUGGGGAAUGAACUCAAUCUCAUUUUUGCUUCUUUGUUGAAAUAAGCUCAGUAUCUCCCUUGCACAGAGAGUGAAUCAGCUUCACUAAGACAAGCAGCAUUUCCUCUUUUCUCCCAGUCAGCAUCGCAGCUCUCUGCAUUCCCCUCUCGCAGAGGUGACUAUUCGUUGUGUUCUUUCCAGGAAUGUUUUCUGAGCUUCAGGAGGCCCUGAGUUACCUGGAUAAUUAGUGCUGUCCUUUUGCACAAUGCAAAAACAAAACCAUUAUGAGAUAAUUUCUUUAGCUAAGUUGGGAAUGGGGUUUAAAUGCAUGGGCAAAUAGAUCUGGCAGUCA
rnacentral:antisense_RNA from 1 species